GAUGAACGCUAGCUACAGGCUUAACACAUGCAAGUCGAGGGGCAGCAUGGUCUUAGCUUGCUAAGGCCGAUGGCGACCGGCGCACGGGUGAGUAACACGUAUCCAACCUGCCGUCUACUCUUGGACAGCCUUCUGAAAGGAAGAUUAAUACAAGAUGGCAUCAUGAGUCCGCAUGUUCACAUGAUUAAAGGUAUUCCGGUAGACGAUGGGGAUGCGUUCCAUUAGAUAGUAGGCGGGGUAACGGCCCACCUAGUCUUCGAUGGAUAGGGGUUCUGAGAGGAAGGUCCCCCACAUUGGACCUGAGACACGGUCCAAACUCCUACGGGAGGAAGCAGUGAGGAAUAUUGGUCAAUGGGCGCAGGCCUGAACCAGCCAAGUAGCGUGAAGGAUGACUGCCCUAUGGGUUGUAAACUUCUUUUAUAAAGGAAUAAAGUCGGGUAUGUAUACCCGUUUGCAUGUACUUUAUGAAUAAGGAUCGGCUAACUCCGUG
rnacentral:rRNA from 1 species